rnacentral:tRNA from 1 species
GCCCAGAUGGCGGAAUUGGUAGACGCGCCAGGUUCAGGUCCUAGUUCUCGCAAGGGUGUGUGGGUUCGAGUCCCGUUCUGGGCA